GGUGGCUCAGUGGUAGAGCGCCCGCCUUGCAUGCCUGAGGCCCUGGGUUCGAUUCCUCAGCACCA
rnacentral:tRNA from 1 species